GAUGAACGCUGGCGGCGUGCCUAAUACAUGCAAGUCGAGCGAACGGACGAGAAGCUUGCUUCUCUGAUGUUAGCGGCGGACGGGUGAGUAACACGUGGAUAACCUACCUAUAAGACUGGGAUAACUUCGGGAAACCGGAGCUAAUACCGGAUAAUUUUUUGAACCGCAGGGUUCAAAAGUGACAGACGGUCUUGCUGUCACUUAUAGAUGGAUCCGCGCUGCAUUAGCUAGUUGGUACGGUAACGGCUUACCAAGGCAACGAUGCAUAGCCGACCUGAGAGGGGGAACGGCCACACAGGAACUGAGACACGGUCCAGAGUCCUACGUGAGGCAGCAGUAGGGAAGCUUCCGCGAUGUGCGGAAGCCUGACGGAGCAACGCCGCGUGAGUGAUGAAGGUCUUCGGAUCGUAAAACUCUGUUAGUAGGGAAGAACGUAUGUAUAAGUAGCUGUGCACAUCUUGACGGUACCUAAUCAGAAAGCCACGGCUAACUACGUG
rnacentral:rRNA from 1 species